GUAAACUACAUCCGUGAUGUGAUUUGGUCGCGAUCAGCGAUGGAGAAACUGUGACAUUGACCUACUUGAAGUUGAAAACAGAUUUCGACAGAAAUUCAAAGGAUCUGAGGGCAUUGAAGGAGGAUAGAUGGAUCAAGUUAAUGUUAAGCUCAUGGUCAGGAUUGUGCAAGUUUUGGUAGAGAACAACGGCAUGUUCAUCGUUAGGACUCAUAGUUGUAGCCAUUUAGAACAUGCAUUGUAUUUAGACGGAGUGCAGGAUUUUAAUGAAGACUCGAAGCGGUGGCCUGAUAUGGACAUCAUUUUUCGAGCCUCAACCAGCCUCGCUCAUGCCAAGUCAUGGCCGUGAUGGCUAUUGCCUGGAAACAACAGGUUAUCAUCAUCAUAAAUCCCUAGAGACAUGAUAGAUCUAAUACUUCGCUUCCAAUAUCAAAGCCAUCAUAUGAAUUCGCCAUGUUGCAGUUUAGGCCUAGUUGUUCUAGUACUUAGUUGCAGGCAGUAUUUAAAAUAAAACAGCUAACCGGUUCGUUUAAUGUUACUGUUUCAUUAAUUGAUUAAAUUCUUGUCUGUUUACAAAAUAAACUCUGGAUAAAUAUUCUGAUACUUUA